rnacentral:rRNA from 1 species
AGAGUUUGAUCCUGGCUCAGGAUGAACGCUGGCGGCGUGCCUAACACAUGCAAGUCGAGCGAGAUUUAGUGGAGUGGAGACUUCGGUCAAAGUGAAACUGAUGAAAGCGGCGGACGGGUGAGUAACGCGUGGGCAACCUGCCCCAUACAAAGGGAUAGCCACUGGAAACGGUGAUUAAUACCUUAUAAGUCGGUAGUCUCGCAUGAGACAGCCGACAAAGAUUUAUCGGUAUGGGAUGGGCCCGCGUUUGAUUAGCUAGUUGGUGAGGUAACGGCUCACCAAGGCGACGAUCAAUAGCCGACCUGAGAGGGUGAUCGGCCACACUGGAACUGAGACACGGUCCAGACUCCUACGGGAGGCAGCAGUGGGGAAUUUUGCGCAAUGGGCGAAAGCCUGACGCAGCAACGCCGCGUGAGUGAUGAAGGCUUUCGGGUCGUAAAGCUCUGUCGAGGGGAAAGAAGUGUAUUDUGGCUAAUAUCCAUGAUACUUGACGGUACCCCUAAAGGAAGCACCGGCUAACUCCGUGCCAGCAGCCGCGGUAAUACGGGGGGUGCAAGCGUUGUUCGGAAUUAUUGGGCGUAAAGCGCGUGUAGGCGGUUUGAUUAGUCUGAUGUGAAAGCCCUGGGCUCAACCCAGGAAGUGCAUUGGAUACUGUCAGACUUGAAUACGGGAGAGGGUAGUGGAAUUCCUAGUGUAGGAGUGAAAUCCGUAGAUAUUAGGAGGAACACCGGUGGCGAAGGCGGCUACCUGGACCGAUAUUGACGCUGAGACGCGAAAGCGUGGGUAGCAAACAGGAUUAGAUACCCUGGUAGUCC